CGGCGUUGCGCUGUGCAAAGUCUGUUUUUCCCUGCACAGAUUGCACUACCCAUCGCCCUCA
rnacentral:pre_miRNA from 1 species